UACGUAGGGGGCAAGCGUUGUCCGGAAUCAUUGGGCGUAAAGCGCGUGUAGGCGGCCCGAUAAGUCCGCUGUGAAAACUCGAGGCUCAACUUCGAGCUGUCGGUGGAAACUUUCUGGCUAGAGUCCGGAAGAGGAGAAUGGAAUUCCUGGUGUAGCGGUGAAAUGCGCAGAUAUCAGGAAGAACACCCGUGGCGAAGGCGGUUCUCUGGGACGGUACUGACGCUGAGACGCGAAAGCGUGGGGAGCGAACAGG
rnacentral:rRNA from 1 species